CCGGUUUCUUCUUAUAAAAACUUAGGUAGGGUAGGUCGGUUUUAACUUUUUUUUAAACUUUUUUUUUAUUUUCCGAACAACUGGCGCCAUUUUGUUUAGUCAGUGCUUCCACAUCCAAAGAUAAAUUUCCCUAAUAUUGCCUCAAAUUUCAAUUUUCCACAAACUUUUUCCUCUAAGUGGAAACACUUACAAGCAUGAUCCAAUAAAAAAGUUUAGGGUCGGGAUUUCGACGUCCAAAAGCUGGGUAGGGU